AGCACGUUUGUUGAUUGCUCUAGAUGUAUCCCAUUUUGCUUGUUCAAUUAUGGCAUCUGUUCAAACUUUGAACAGUACCCAAUGCUGUAUCAAUUGUCAAAAACUUCUGCAUCUUGUAUAUUGAGAUGGCUUUUGAACGCACUGAUGUGAAGGUUUGUUAUUGUUAUGGCAUCUGAAGUGUCUUUGGGAAGUGAAAAGCUGUUAUCUUGAACUUGCCUGUCUAGAAAAUCUUUUGGGACCCAAAGGUUUGUUUAAAGUUCUUUAUUCCCUAGCAUGUACAUGGAUUUAUUUCAUAGUUUUUUCAAUCUUGUCUAACAAAAUAUACGUGACUCAGUUCUUGUCUAAUCCAA
rnacentral:lncRNA from 1 species